GACGAACGCUGGCGGCGUGCUUAACACAUGCAAGUCGAACGGAAAGGCCCUGCUUUUGUGGGGUGCUCGAGUGGCGAACGGGUGAGUAACACGUGAGUAACCUGCCCUUGACUUUGGGAUAACUUCAGGAAACUGGGGCUAAUACCGGAUAGGAGCUCCUGCUGCAUGGUGGGGGUUGGAAAGUUUCGGCGGUAGGGGAUGGACUCGCGGCUUAUCAGCUUGUUGGUGGGGUAGUGGCUUACCAAGGCUUUGACGGGUAGCCGGCCUGGGAGGGUGACCGGCCACAUUGGGACUGAGGGAGGGCCCAGACGCCUACGGGAGGCAGAAGGGGGGAAUAUGGCACAAUGGGCGGAAGCCUGAUGCAGCAACGCCGCGUGCGGGAUGACGGCCUUCGGGUUGUAAACCGCUUUCGCCUGUGACGAAGCGUGAGUGACGGUAAUGGGUAAAGAAGCACCGGCUAACUACGUG
rnacentral:rRNA from 1 species